rnacentral:tRNA from 1 species
AGAUUAGAACAAUAAUUUGCAAUUAUUAAGAGUAAAAUUUACCUAAUCUG